rnacentral:rRNA from 1 species
GAUGAACGCUGGCGGCGUGCCUAAUACAUGCAAGUCGAGCGAACGGACGAGAAGCUUGCUUCUCUGAUGUUAGCGGCGGACGGGUGAGUAACACGUGGAUAACCUACCUAUAAGACUGGGAUAACUUCGGGAAACCGGAGCUAAUACCGGAUAAUAUUUUGAACCGCAUGGUUCAAAAGUGAAAGACGGUCUUGCUGUCACUUAUAGAUGGAUCCGCGCUGCAUUAGCUAGUUGGUAAGGUAACGGCUUACCAAGGCAACGAUGCAUAGCCGACCUGAGAGGGUGAUCGGCCACACUGGAACUGAGACACGGUCCAGACUCCUACGGGAGGCAGCAGUAGGGAAUCUUCCGCAAUGGGCGAAAGCCUGACGGAGCAACGCCGCGUGAGUGAUGAAGGUCUUCGGAUCGUAAAACUCUGUUAUUAGGGAAGAACAUAUGUGUAAGUAACUGUGCACAUCUUGACGGUACCUAAUCAGAAAGCCACGGCUAACUACGUGCCAGCAGCCGCGGUAAUACGUAGGUGGCAAGCGUUAUCCGGAAUUAUUGGGCGUAAAGCGCGCGUAGGCGGUUUUUUAAGUCUGAUGUGAAAGCCCACGGCUCAACCGUGGAGGGUCAUUGGAAACUGGAGAACUUGAGUGCAGAAGAGGAAAGUGGAAUUCCAUGUGUAGCGGUGAAAUGCGCAGAGAUAUGGAGGAACACCAGUGGCGAAGGCGACUUUCUGGUCUGUAACUGACGCUGAUGUGCGAAAGCGUGGGGAUCAAACAGGAUUAGAUACCCUGGUAGUCCACGCCGUAAACGAUGAGUGCUAAGUGUUAGGGGGUUUCCGCCCCUUAGUGCUGCAGCUAACGCAUUAAGCACUCCGCCUGGGGAGUACGACCGCAAGGUUGAAACUCAAAGGAAUUGACGGGGACCCGCACAAGCGGUGGAGCAUGUGGUUUAAUUCGAAGCAACGCGAAGAACCUUACCAAAUCUUGACAUCCUUUGACAACUCUAGAGAUAGAGCCUUCCCCUUCGGGGGACAAAGUGACAGGUGGUGCAUGGUUGUCGUCAGCUCGUGUCGUGAGAUGUUGGGUUAAGUCCCGCAACGAGCGCAACCCUUAAGCUUAGUUGCCAUCAUUAAGUUGGGCACUCUAAGUUGACUGCCGGUGACAAACCGGAGGAAGGUGGGGAUGACGUCAAAUCAUCAUGCCCCUUAUGAUUUGGGCUACACACGUGCUACAAUGGACAAUACAAAGGGCAGCGAAACCGCGAGGUCAAGCAAAUCCCAUAAAGUUGUUCUCAGUUCGGAUUGUAGUCUGCAACUCGACUACAUGAAGCUGGAAUCGCUAGUAAUCGUAGAUCAGCAUGCUACGGUGAAUACGUUCCCGGGUCU